rnacentral:misc_RNA from 1 species
CUUCUACCUCUACCUCGCCAAAUGGAGACGUAAACCAAAACCAGGCACUACUUGUUCAAAUAUUCAAUCAAAUCUUUUGGAUCCCUCCAGAAUUGACAGAUCAUAAUUUUCUUCUCUGUACAUGAACUCAAAAUAUAAAAAGAAAUUUGGAAAUAUCAUGCAAUUAGAGUAAGUGAGACUGGUUUCUUGCUCUGCAUUAUUAUUUCCAGUUAUUGAAAAUAAUUAACUAUUGAUCAUGAGAGUGUCAUCAACAUCCGCGGACGACCGCGCUGCAACGCUGAGCGGUGGAGGCUACCGAGAUGCAGAGACUCUAUUCCGUGCGAAACCGAUUUCCCAAAUUCGGGAUGCGGAAACCACCACGGUAAAACAGAUCCAGGACAAGAAGGAGGAGCUCCGCCAAUUGGUUGGCAACCGCUACCGAGAUCUCAUUGAUUCUGCCGACUCUAUUGUUCUCAUGAAGUCGUCCUGCGAGUCCAUCUCUUCUAAUAUAGCUUCCAUUCAAACUAACAUUCGUUCCCUCUCAGCAUCUCCUGUAUCGGAAACCCCCAAAUUCACCAACCCUAACCCCGCUCGUCUCCGAAUCUACGGGAUCGCGUGUUGCGUCAAGUACUUGGUUGACACUCCCGAGAACAUCUGGGGAUGCCUCGACGAGUCCAUGUUUCUUGAAGCUGCCGGGAGAUACAUUCGUGGCAAGCACGUGCACUAUAAUCUUGUGCUGGCCAACAAUGCUAAUGCUAACUCCAGUGCUGAAUGGGAUCACACCAAAAUCUUGUCCAAUUUUCCUCUUUUGCAACAUCAGUGGCAGAUCGUUGAGGGCUUCAAAGCUCAAAUUUCACAGCGGAGUCGCGAGAGGCUGUUGGAUCCGGCUCUCGAAAUUGCGGCCUAUGCUGAUGCUUUGGCUGGGGUUGCUGUCAUUGAUGAAUUAGAUCCUAAGCAGGUACUUGGUUUGUUUCUUGAUACUAGAAAGUCUUGGAUUUUGCAGAAAUUAGCAACUUUUGGCGGUAAUGAUAAUCAUGCUGUCGCCAGUGAGGUUGUGGUUCUUGUGUUUUGUGAAGUUCUGAAGAUCAUUCAGGUUAGUGUAGGACAAGUAGGCGAGUUGUUUUUGCAAGUUUUGAAUGAUAUGCCUCUGUUUUACAAAGUUAUUUUGUGUUCCCCUCCUGCCUCUCAAUUAUUUGGUGGAAUUCCUUACCCAGAUGGGGAGGUGAGGUUGUGGAAACUUUUUAGGGAAAGAUUGGAAUCCGCAAUGGUUAUUCUUGAUAAACAGUACAUCGCAAGGACUUGUAUGACUUGGUUGAGAGACUCUGGUGGAGAGGUUGUGAGUAAUAUUAACGGCAAGUACUUGAUUGAUGCUAUUGCCACUGGUGGAGAGCUUUCAUUGGCUGAAAAGUUAAUAAGAGAGACAAUGGACAGUAAGCAUGUUUUGCAGGGGAGUUUGGACUGGCUCAAGAGUGUGUUUGGUUCUGAGAUUGAGCUGCCUUGGAGUAGGAUCCGAGAGCUGUUUCUAGAAGAUGACUCAGAUCUCUGGGAUGAAAUAUUCGAAGAUGCUUUUGUUCAGAGGAUGAAAGCCAUUAUCAACUCUGCAUUUGAGGAUUUGACAAAAAUAAUUAACGUUGAGAACUCCAUUUGCACAAUUGGAGAGGCUCCUAGCGAACAUAUUGACUACCAGGCUUACUUAAACAGACCUACCACAGGUGGUGGGGUUUGGUUUAUAGAAUCCAAUGGAAAUAAGUCUAGUCUAGUUUCAGGUUAUAAGGCAUCCCCUGAAGAAAAUGAUUUCCAGAGUUGUCUCAGUGCCUACUUUGGUCCUGAAGUUAGUCAAAUCAGAGAUGCAGUGGACAGCCGUUGUCAAAGUGUUCUGGAGGACCUACUCAAUUUCUUAGAAACUCCAAAGGCAGUACACAGGCUAAAAGAUUUGGGUCCAUUCCUACAAGAUAAAUGUUAUGAUAUCAUGUCAACCAUUUUGGCAGAGCUCAAGAGGGUCAUUGAUCAGUUAAAUGAUGCCAUGGAAAAUUCCAGAGAGGGAAGUCCAUCUGUUCCUCCUGCUAUAGUUGUUGAGAGAUCUCUUUUUGUUGGGAGACUUUUGUUUGCAUUUCAGAACCACACAAAACAUAUUCCUGUGAUACUUGGUUCUCCAAGGUUUUGGUCAAAAGAUACUGUGUCUGCAGUUUUUGACAAGUUACCAUCUGUAUUGAGGCAAUCUCAAGUUGCCACAGAUUCUCUGAUUACUGAGAGUCCUGGCAGGCAAACACCCACUGGCUCUAGACAACAAACUUCAUGUGCUACAGCUGCUUUGCUUGGAGCAAGUGAACAUGCUAGCCCUAAACUUGAAGAACUAGCCAGAACCACCAGGGAUCUUUCCAUCAGAGCUCAUAACCUGUGGAUACUCUGGUUAUCUGAUGAGCUUUCAGCCAUUCUUGGUCGUGAUCUUGGAAAGGAUGAUGGAUUGUCAGCGAUGACUCCCUUGAGGGGAUGGGAUGAGACAGUAGUCAAGCAAGAACAAUCUGAUGAAAACCAUUCUGAAAUGAAAAUAUCACUGCCAUCAAUGCCUUCUUUCUAUAUCAUUUCUUUUCUGUUUCGUGCAUGUGAAGAAAUUCAUAGGAUUGGGGGUCAUGUACUUGACAAAUCAAUUCUGCAAAAAUUUGCACUACGACUACUGGAAAAGCUUAUUGAAAUUUAUGAGGACUUCCUUUCUUCUAGAGAUUCCCAUCCAUCUCAGGUGUCAGAGAAAGGAGUUCUGCAAAUACUCUUAGACCUAAAAUUUGCUGCAGAUGUUCUUUCUGGCAGUGAAUCCAAUAUAAAUGAGGACUUAUCUAAAAGUCCUAUGAUGAAGGUUUCUUUCAGAAGGAAGCAGGGGCAAAGCCAAACAAAGUCGGUCUUUAGAGAGCGUAUUGAGGAGUUAAUUAACCGUUUUUCACAAAAAUUGGAUCCAAUAGACUGGCUAACGUAUGAGCCAUAUCUCUGGGAGAAUGAGAGACAGUCAUACCUACGACAUGCAGUCCUCUUUGGAUUCUUUGUGCAACUGAAUCGGAUGUACACAGAUACCGUGCAGAAACUUCCUUCUAAUCCAGAGUCAAAUAUAAUGAGAUGCUCAAUUGUUCCUCGUUUCAAAUACCUUCCAACCAGUGCACCAGCAUUGUCUUCAAGGGGAACACCAAAGGCAUCCAUUCCUGCAGCUUCAGAUGAUAUCUCCUUAAGAAGUUCCUGGAAAGCCUAUACCAAUGGGGAGCUUUCACAAAAGAUUGACUUGGAUGACAACUCAAGUUUUGGUGUAGCAGCACCAAUUUUGAAGUCCUUUAUGCAAGUUGGCAGCAGGUUUGGGGAGAGCACCCUAAAGUUGGGAUCCAUAUUAACUGAUGGGCAAGUAGGGAUAUUCAAAGACCGAUCAGCAGCUGCCAUGUCAACGUUUGGUGAUAUUUUACCUGCCCAAGCUGCGGGUCUUCUUUCAUCCUUUACAGCUACCAGAUCAGACUCUUGAUUUCCACUGAAUUCUUCUGUCCUCUUAUUUCCCCCAGCUAGUCAUUCCAGUGAGUUAAAUUUCUGUUCUGUGGUUCCUAACUCCAUCAAGAGCUCUAUGAUAUUACCCAAGUGGAAAGGUUAUGCAUAUGGGGGGACAUAGGCAAUGCAAAGAUUCGGAGGUGAAGUGAGCAUGGGGAUUGGAACUGUUAGAGAAAUGGUUAUGUCUCAAGAAAAUUGGAAAUUAGGGUUUAUCAAAUGGAGCAAGUGCGAGUUGUAAGGAGCAAUAAUUAUAUUCCAUAGAAAGCAUAAAAUAGUAUAGUAUGUGGAGUAUGUGAGGUUUGUAUCUCGAGUUCUCUUGUAAAUAGAAAUUAUUGUCUACCAAUAUAACAAAAGAUGGGGAAGGUAUUUAGAGUGAAGUUUUAUAUAGUCUGAGGUUAUGAUGCUGGAUGUCAAUAUUUAGAAGUCUUGGUUCUCGAGGUGAAGAAGAAAGCUCUCCAUACCUAUCUCCAUAAUAUCGAGAGCAAGAUUGAAUCGGAGUAAAAAAUUAAUCGAGUGCGUGAAGGGACGGGGGGGUGUCGAGCUUGGAAGGAAUUGGCAUUCUACAAAGAAACUAGGCUUCUCCAUUUUAUUUUAAAAAUUUUGAUUUUUUUUUUAUUUUGAAAAAAUAAAAAGCAAUAUCAUAUGGUAUUAAUCAAUGUAAACUUUGAAUUGGCAUGAAUGAUAAUGUCAUCGUUGAAUAGAUAUCAAUUCGAUCGAAAUUUUACCAAGUAAAUAGAAUUGAAUUCUCAGGAAAAAA